rnacentral:rRNA from 1 species
ACGUAGGGGACGAGCGUUGUCCGGAUUUACUGGGCGUAAAGGGCGCGUAGGCGGUCAUUUAAGUCCGCUGUGAAAUGUGUUGGCUUAACCGGAUCAUGCGGUUGAAACUGGAUGACUGGAGUGCUGGUGAGGCAAGUGGAAUUCCCAGUGUAGCGGUGAAAUUCGUAGAUAUUGGUAAGUACACCGGUUUCUGGGGCGACUUGCUGGCCAGCAACUGACGCUGAGGCGCGAAAGCCAGGGGAGCAAACGG